rnacentral:sRNA from 1 species
ACUAGUUUCAUAGUUCUUUAGGGUUACUUUUAAAACUCCUUGGAUAGCCUCCGCCAGCUCCCGGCAGGAGGCGUUUUUU